UACGGAGGGAGCUAGCGUUGUUCGGAAUUACUGGGCGUAAAGCGCACGUAGGCGGCGAUUCAAGUCAGAGGUGAAAGCCCGGGGCUCAACCCCGGAACUGCCUUUGAAACUAGAUUGCUAGAAUCCUGGAGAGGUGAGUGGAAUUCCGAGUGUAGAGGUGAAAUUCGUAGAUAUUCGGAAGAACACCAGAGGCGAAGGCAGCGAAUUGGCCCUAUAUUGACGCUCAGGCACGAAAGCAUGGGGAUCAAACAGG
rnacentral:rRNA from 1 species